rnacentral:rRNA from 1 species
UACAUAGGGGGCUAGCGUUGUCCGGAAUCAUUGGGCGUAAAGCGCGUGUAGGCGGCCCGAUAAGUCCGCUGUGAAAGUCCAGGGCUCAACCCUGGGAUGCCGGUGGAUACUGUCGGGCUCGAGUCCGGAAGAGGCGAGUGGAAUUCCUGGUGUAGCGGUGAAAUGCGCAGAUAUCGGGAGGAACACCAAUGGCGAAGGCAGCUCGCUGGGACGGUACUGACGCUGAGACGCGAAAGCGUGGGGAGCAAACAGG